rfam:Hirschia baltica ATCC 49814, complete genome.
GGGUCUGUAGCUCAGGUGGUUAGAGCGCACCCCUGAUAAGGGUGAGGUCGGAAGUUCAAGUCUUCCCAGACCCA